rnacentral:rRNA from 1 species
CCUACGGGAGGCAGCAGUGAGGAAUAUUGGUCAAUGGACGCAAGUCUGAACCAGCCAUGCCGCGUGCAGGAAGACGGCUCUAUGAGUUGUAAACUGCUUUUGUACGAGGGGAAACGCAGAUACGCGUAUCUGUCUGAAAGUAUCGUACGAAUAAGGAUCGGCUAACUCCGUGCCAGCAGCCGCGGUAAUACGGAGGAUUCAAGCGUUAUCCGGAUUUAUGGGGGUUCAAGGGUGCGUAGGCGGUCGGAUAAGUGAGAGGUGAAAUCCCGGGGCUCAACUUCGGAAUUGCCUCUGAUACUGUUCGGCUAGCGUGUAGUUGCGGUAGGCGGAAUG